rnacentral:rRNA from 1 species
GAUGAACGCUGGCGGCGUGCCUAAUACAUGCAAGUCGAGCGAACGGACGAGAAGCUUGCUUUUCUGAUGUUAGCGGCGGACGGAUGAGUAACACGUGGAUAACCUACCUAUAAGACUGGGAUAACUUCGGGAAACCGGAGCUAAUACCGGAUAAUAUUUUGAACCGCAUGGUUCAAAAGUGAAAGACGGUCUUGCUGUCACUUAUAGAUGGAUCCGCGCUGCAUUAGCUAGCUGGUAAGGUAACGGCUUACCAAGGCAACGAUGCAUAGCCGACCUGAGAGGGUGAUCGGCCACACUGGAACUGAGACACGGUCCAGACUCCUACGGGAGGCAGCAGUAGGGAAUCUUCCGCAAUGGGCGAAAGCCUGACGGAGCAACGCCGCGUGAGUGAUGAAGGUCUUCGGAUCGUAAAACUCUGUUAUUAGGGAAGAACAUAUGUGUAAGUAACUGUGCACAUCUUGACGGUACCUAAUCAGAAAGCCACGGCUAACUACGUG